rnacentral:tRNA from 1 species
GCAUCCAUGGCUGAAUGGUUAAAGCGCCCAACUCAUAAUUGGCGAACUCGCGGGUUCAAUUCCCUGCUG